AGCUCCCGAGGCAUAUCGCAGCCUCCCACGUCCUUCAUCGGCUCCUGGUGCCAAGACAUCCACCGUGCGCCCUUAAUAACUUGGCCACAAAGAUAAAGAUGCUCGCGUCCACUGUGCAGUUCUCAAACUACGAACGGAAACCAGCCGCACCUGCGGGACCCACCACCACCACAAACAGCGGUAUCCCACGACGAACCAGCCCGCAAACCUGCCUCCCACCAGCCCCAAAGGGCCAGCAGAAGGCAGGAUCGUACACGAGGGCAACUCACUCCCUCACAACCCAACAGCGUACCGAUCCACCCAGACAACCCACCACCCAGAGAACACACAGGAACCCCGGACAACAGACCAGACCAGACAGAAACAUAGUCAGCGUUCCACACCCAUGAGCACCCAGACCAACCAUCCAGCUGGUCUUCGCUCUGGACCAGACACCCUCCACUACAAAGGGCACCCAGCCAGAAAGCUCCUUAGAAAGGAGGUGAUCCAGCCGCACCUUC
rnacentral:rRNA from 1 species